CCAACCCUAUUCCUGCAGCCACAACCCUAACCCUAACCCUAACCCUAACCCUAACCCUACCUUAACUUCUAACCCUAACCCAACCACAUCCAACCCUAUUCCUGCAGCCACAACCCUAACCCUAACCCUAACCCUAACCCUAACCCUACCCCUAACCCUACCCCUACCCCUAACCCCCCCUAACCCUAACCCUUACCACAUCCAACCCUAUUCCUGCAGCCAUAUUCUACCCCUUUAUUAUGUGUAACUUAGCCCUCUGCUCUGACAUUCUGCAGUUUCAUUCUCAAUUCUAAAAACAAGAUUCUAAAAUGGGUGUUUCAAGCACUGAAUGCUGAUUGGCUGACAGGCGUGGUAUAUCAGACCGUAUACCACGGUUAUGACAAAACAUGUAUUUUUACUACUCUAAUUAUGUUGGUAACCAGUUUGUAACAGCAAUAAGCCACCUCGGGGGUUGUGGUAUUUUGGCCAUAUACCAACAAACUCCUCAGGCCUUAUUGGACAAAACUUGGUGUGAUAGUGACAUAAAACAUUUUUUUAUUCUGAACUCACCAGAAUGCAGGAAAAGACAGUGAGCGAGUGAAAGCAAGCAAGAUCGAGUGAGUGAGAGAGAGACAGCGAGAGAGAGAGAGAGCAAGAUAGAGAGAGAGCAAGAUAGAGAGAGAGAGACAGUGAGAGAGAGAGAGAGAGAGAGAGAGACAGCAGAGAGAGAGAGAGACAGAGAGAGAGACAGCAAGCCAGAGAGAGAGCAAGAGAGAGAGAGCGAGAGAGAGAGAGAGAGACAGAGAGAGAGAGCGAGAGAGAGAGACAGCGAGAGAGAGAGCGAGAGAGAGAGACAGAGAGAGAGAGACAGCGAGAGAGAGAGAGAGAGAGAGCGAGAGAGAGAGAGACAGCGAGAGAGAGAGCAGCAGAGAGAGAGGAGAGAGAGACAGCGAGAGAGAGAGAGAGAGAGAGAGAGAGAGAGAGAGAGAGAGAGAGAGAGAGAGAGAGAGAGACAGCAAGCCAGAGAGAGAGCGAGAGAGAGCGAGAGAGAGAUUGAGAGAGAGAGAGAGAGAGAGAGAGAGAGAGAGAGAGAGAGAACUAAGCAUGUUUAAGUGGUCUUAUAAUGGUGAAUUUAAUUUAAUAACCUACAAAUACAAGCGAGAGAGAGAGACAGUGAGAGAGAGACAGUGAGAGAGAGACAGCGAGAGAGAGACAGUGAGAGAGAGAGAGAGAGAGAGAGAGAGAGAGCUAGAACUAAGCAUGUUUAGGUGGUCUUAUAAUGGUGAAUUGAAUUUAAUAACCUACAAAUAAAACCUCAUUUUUCUGUAUACAUUUAUGAAGGUAAAUAAAUAUGUUGUUUUUCGCAUCAAUUCAAUGUCUCCAUCCUCCCUAACAAGGCCUCUAGAAAUACUAGUACAGUCUGUGCAGGGCAGGAUUUUGUUUCAUCAAAGCAUCAACACACUUUACAGCUAAUUGAAAUGUUGUUUUUGUGCCCCUCGGCCAAUCAGAAAGCUGAGACAGAGGUAAAAGAGACCUUGGCCUCAGCGUGACUCCCUGAUAAAACACAGGUUCAAUAAAAUAAGCAGGGUCUUGAUGGUGAUUGGUUGGUUUGUUGAAUCAGUCGUGGUAGUGCCGGUAUCAGUGCUUGACCUUAGUACCGGCACCUCAGUUAUGUUGUUGUUCCUGUUCCUCUUAUAGAAUAUCAGAUCAACAGUAUAGAGGAGUUGCUGUUCCUGUUCCUCUUAUAGAAUAUCAGAUCAACAGUAUAGAGGAGUUGCUGUUCCUGUUCCUCUUAUAGAAUAUCAGAUCAACAGUAUAGAGGUGUUCCUGUUCCUCUUAUAGAAUAUCAGAUCAACAGUAUAGAGGUGUUCCUGUUCCUCUUAUAGAAUAUCAGAUCAACAGUAUAGAGGAGUUGAUGUUCCUGUUAUAGAAUAUCAGAUCAACAGUAUAGAGGUGUUGCUGUUCCUGUUCCUCUUAUAGAAUAUCAGAUCAACAGUAUAGAGGAGUUGUUGUUCCUGUUCCUCUUAUAGAAUAUCAGAUCAACAGUAUAGAGGAGUUGUUGUUCCUGUUCCUCUUAUAGAAUAUCAGAUCAACAGUAUAGAGGAGUUGUUGUUCCUGUUCCUCUUAUAGAAUAUCAGAUCAACAGUAUAGAGGUGUUCCUGUUCCUCUUAUAGAAUAUCAGAUCAACAGUAUAGAGAUGUUGAUGUACCUAAAUAUAAACAGUACAGGCACCUAUUUCAGUCCAAGUCAAACAUGGGCUAGUAUGGAACUAAACCCUGCACUCCCUGCCCUUGUAACUCUACAUCUGCAGAGGAUGUAGUUGCUAGGUAAAUCAACAUGGGGGAGGCAGUGGUGUGUGUUGACGUCACUCUCAUAUUCCAAACUGCCACAAGGAGAAGUUGCUGAUGUGUGAGAAGAAUGAUGAGUACAGACUACUUACUUUAUGCAGGGCUUUAAGGGCCACUUUACGUUUAUCCUGGGGAUGGAAAGAUAUGAGAAAUACCGUCCCUGUCACAUCCUGACCUUAGUUAUCUUUGUUUUCUUUAUUAUUUUGGUUAGGUCAGGGUGUGACGAGGGUGGUAUUUGUGUUUUUGUCUUGUCUAGGUUUUUUUUUUUUUUUUUUAUAUCUAUGGGGUUUUGGUAUUGUCUAGGUAAAUGUAGAUCUAUGGUGGCCUGACUUUGUUCCCAACUCAGGCGCACGACCUGAAAGCUCCACUUGGUUUUCGUCCUGUAUUGAACACAGUUUAUCCUGUCUUAA
ensembl:lncRNA